ACUCAAAUGAAUUGACGGGGACCCGCACAAGUGGUGGAGCGUGUGGUUUAAUUCGAUACUAAGCGAAGAACCUUACCAAGGAUUGACAUCCCGAGAAAGCUCUUGAAAGAGAGCCGUGCCGUAAGGAACUCGGUGACAGGUGUUGCAUGGUUGUCGUCAGCUCGUGCCGUGAGGUGUCCCGUUCAGUCGGUCAACGAGCGCAACCCUUAUCCUGUGUUACACUUCUCACAGGAAACUGCCUCCGUUAAGGGGGAGGAAGGUGGGGAUGACGUCAAAUCAGCAUGGCCCUUACACCUUGGGCUACACACGCGCUACAAUGGGUAGAACAAUGGGUCGCCAAGCCGCAAGGCGGAGCUAAUCCUAUCAAAUCUACCCUCAGUUCGGAUUGGAGGCUGCAACUCGCCUCCAUGAAGCCGGAAUCACUAGUAACGGCCAGUCAGCUAUAUGGCCGUGAAUACGUUCUCGGGUCUUGUACACACCGCCCGU
rnacentral:rRNA from 1 species